GACAGUUUGGCCGAGUAGUCUAAGGCGCCAGAUUAGGCUCUGCUCCGGAAGGGCGUGGGUUCAAAUCCCACAGCUGUCA
rnacentral:tRNA from 1 species